rnacentral:rRNA from 1 species
UACGAAGGGGCUAGCGUUGUCCGGAAUCAUUGGGCGUAAAGAGCGUGUAGGCGGCCCGGUAAGUCCGCUGUAAAAGUCAAAGGCUCAACCUUUGAAUGUCAGUGGAUACUGCCGGGCUAGAGUCCGGAAGAGGCGAGUGGAACUCCUGGUGUAGCGGUGGAAUGCGCAGAUAUCAGGAGGAACACCUGUGGUGUAGACAGCUUACUGGACCACGACUGACGCUGAGACACGAAAGCGUGGGUAGCAAACAGG